UUUCACGACUUCCGGCGAGCUAACGGGCUAACUUUUAGCCAGGAAGUUAGCGCGCAGCUCCAGGUGGCUCGCGGUUGGCCGGAUACGUAAGCGUAACUUCUCCUGUUGGAUAAAACAUGCUUUUAAAAAAAAAAAAAAGAGACGUCGUUAAAUAUAACUUACGGUAUUUUUACUAACGUAUCCGGGUUCGUGACGUAUUCGGCGUGUGUAAAAAUGCGCUUUUUGCUUUCGCUAAAAUAUUGAAAGUUAAGUGUUUUGAAUACACAUUGUAACCUUUAAAAUAAAUACAUGUUAAACUUAUUUUAUUUACGAUUAAUGUAGACUUUUUUUAACGGAGUUUCCGGCAACUUCCGGUCGGCUGUCAGGUGACUUCCUGUCGCGUGACUCGCAUGCGGCUCAACAACACAAGUUGCACCAUAUUCUAGUUUUAUGUUACGUAACACGAGAUCAACCUGAAUUCAAACGGUGGUGUCACCCUCAUCUCUUCCUCCCCUGAGGGGUCAGGUGUGUGUGUGUGUGCGUGUUGUUCCUCUGCUUGUCAUCAGCGUGUUAACUCCCUCAUGCCAUUGAUUGUGUGUUGUGUCACGUUACAUUGACGGUUUGUAUUAAAAACACCAAACACUUCAUAAAUGCUGCGAUGAACUGGUUUUAUUUAGCUGAUCAGGCUGCAACCCUUUUUUGGGCUCUCAGCAUUUGAUCAAAAGAUGAACGACUGUUUAGAAAAUAUCUGCUUCUUUUAGUUAAAAAAAGACAUUUAAAAAAAAAAAAACUGAACGAGAGAAGUCGACUACAACUCCCAGGGUGCAUUGCUCUAAGCAGACGGCACUUAAAGUAAGCGGAGUUCAAGGUGGCGUCUUUUCAACCGUAUCACAGACGAAUAUAUUACAUUUUAUAACGUGUGUGGGGGGGGAAGGAAAUGCUCAUUUUUGGACGUAUACAAUUAAUAGUUUACAGCAAUGGAAGCUGACAUUCAACCUCUUGUUGACAUCAUGAUUAUAGUUUUUUUUUCAGACCCAAAAUUACUGAGAGAAAAACAGGUCUAAAAAAAAACGACGACAUUACAAACGAAAGCAUGUGUAAAUAACAAUAUUAAACUGAGAGGUAGCCGACAAUAAUUCCACCAGGUGUUGUCUCAAAAGGUGUGUUUCUUCUGUCUUAUGCAGGAUCACCUGCGUCACCUGAGUGCAAAUAAACACACCUCAUGUCCUGGUCUCUGUUGAUAACACACACACACCACUGUUUUUUGACGGUUGGCAUCGGCUCCGUUGACGGUUGGUAUCGGCUCCAUUGACGGUUGGCAUCGGCUCCGUUGACGGUUGGUAUCGGCUCCAUUGAGGGUUGGUAACGGCUCCAUUGACGGUUGGUAGCAGCUCCAUUGAGGGUUGGUAUCGGCUCCGUUGACGGUUGGUAUCGGCUCCGUUGACGGUUGGUAGCAGCUCCAUUGAGGGUUGGUAUCGGCUCCAUUGACGGUUGGUAUCGGCUCCAUUGAGGGUUGGUAUCGGCUCCGUUGACGGUUGGUAGCAGCUCCAUUGAGGGUUGGUAUCGGCUCCAUUGAGGGUUGGUAACGGCUCCAUUGACAGUUGGUAGCAGCUCCAUUGAGGGUUGGUAUCGGCUCCGUUGACGGUUGGUAUCGGCUCCAUUGACGGUUGGUAGCAGCUCCAUUGAGGGUUGGUAUCGGCUCCAUUGAGGGUUGGUAUCGGCUCCGUUGACGGUUGGUAUCGGCUCCAUUGACGGUUGGUAGCGGCUCCAUUGAGGGUUGGUAUCGGCUCCGUUGACGGUUGGUAUCGGCUCCAUUGACGGUUGGUAGCGGCGCCAUUGAGGGUUGGUAACGGCUCCAUUGACGGUUGGUAUCGGCUCCAUUGACGGUUGGUAACGGCUCCGUUGAGGGUUGGUAUCGGCUCCAUUGACGGUUGGUAUCGGCUCCAUUGAGGGUUGGUAUCGGCUCCGUUGACGGUUGGUAUCGGCUCCAUUGACGGUUGGUAGCGGCGCCAUUGAGGGUUGGUAACGGCUCCAUUGACGGUUGGUAUCGGCUCCAUUGACGGUUGGUAACGGCUCCUUUGACGGUUGGUAUCGGCUCCAUUGACGGUUGGUAUCGGCUCCAUUGAGGGUUGGUAUCGGCUCCAUCGGAGGUCAUGCGUUCUCCUCUGCCAGUUCCUCCUUAACUCCUCCUC